AAGUCGUAACAAGGUUUCCGUAGGUGAACCUGCGGAAGGAUCAUUAACACGUUAUCCACGUAACACCAACCGAGGUUCGUAUAAAUUCUCCCUCUGGCCGGGAUGAACAGUCAAGCUAGUAUAUUUGGGUAAACGAGAUUGCUUCACGCGUCAGAUUUAUACUAGUCAGAUGUGAGUUUAAGCUUUUUGGUUUGAAUUCGCAUUGCUGUUGUACUCGCCCAGUUGGCUACCUCCUGGCGUUCAGCUCCUCGUUUACGAGAUGCGCGUCAGGAAACUUAUUCACUAUUAUCACCCCUUUUUUGCUAGUUGACUUUUAUAUGUUGCUUACGCUUUGCUUCGGCAAGGUGCAGGUACACGUUUGAUUAUUUGAACGUUAAAAAUACAACUCUUAGCAAUGGAUAUCUAGGUUCUC
rnacentral:misc_RNA from 1 species